rnacentral:lncRNA from 1 species
ACCAACUCUUUUCUACAGGCUUUCACUGAGUGCUCACAGAAAGAUCAGGAGAGCAAGACAGAAACCCCAAGACACAGAUGUUCAGAGCUUCUCAAGUCUGAGCAGGUGAACUGAAGGAAAUCCCACAGGCACUUUGGUCAUGGUGAUUAUAAGGCAGCAACUCUCUACCACUGGGGGAGGAACAGGUGAGCUGAGUGCACAGUGAGGCACGGUGCAUGGAGUCUGCUGAAGUCCAAAGGCUGAGGGGAGAACUGAGAAACUCCAUUGGCUUUCUGGACAUUACAUUGCACACUAGACAACAGCCAUCUGCUACUGGGGAGAUGCUGGAGAGCUGAGAGAAACAUCCCCUCUUCUCCAGGUACAAGUGUGCCAAGCCUGCUGGAGUCUAAGAAGAACUACAGGAAACCCCACAGACACUAUGGUCCUUACCUAAUAAGGUAAAGACCAUCUACCUAUUGGGGGAGGGGCCAGAGAGCUAAGAAAGACAUCUCACUCCAAACCCAAGUGCACAGGUAUUGCUGAAGUCCAGGGGCAGAACAAGAAUAUUAAGAGAAACCCCCAGCUACUCCAUGCCUUUCACUGAGUAUGUGACAGCUCUCCUAAGAGCUGAGACAGGCAUGAAGCAAAGGCAAACCGGGCUGGCUAAAGUACUAGGGCAGGAAAGAAGGACUGAUCAACUCCCUCAGGCACUCAUACCUCAAGUUCUGAUUUCUCCAUUGAACAAUGUGAAGCCUGUGGUGAAUUGAAUCUAACUAAAUCAACAACAAUUUCAGACCUAGAUCAAUUAGACUAAAUUAUCUCAAAAAUUCUAGUGUAAAAAUAAGCUUAUGGCCUUCCAGAAUAAAAAUGCCUGCCCUUUUCUGGAUAUGAAUAUUAUUUUCUUCUGACUCUACUGUUCAUUUAUAAUUAAUCAAAAAUUAUAAGGCACAUGAGCAAAAUCUCUGGACAGGUGGACAAUUUCAGAGCCAAAUGAAGAUGCUAGAAAUGAAAAAUACUUUAUCGAUAAAGAAUUUUAACACAUUGUUAGCACACAAGACACAGAAAAGGAAAGAACCGUGAAAGUGAAGACAAUUUGUAUCUCAGCACUCUACUUGCAUUCAAGAUAUCUGAUACAUUUAAAACAGCCAAACAAACACAAACGUUGAGUUCUAGGAAAAAUUUAAAUGACCUAGAAUUUUCUAAAAUAUAUGAAAUUCCAUCAACGCAAGAUGGAAUAAGCUCUGAAAACCCAAAGAAGAAUGAAUUCAAAGAAAUACCAGUAAAAGCACCCAUAGACACAUCAGAAUCAAACAGAUGAAUUCCAAACAUAAAGGGAAAAUCUGGAAAAUUGGCAGAGAAAACAAGAGAGAUUACAUACAGGGGAGCAACAUAGAAAUUACAGCUUCUCACUGGAAACAAUGGAGACCAGGAGACAGUGAAAUGACAUUUUAAAGUGUUGAAAGGAAAAAAAAAUCAAUCUAGAAUUCUAUGCCAGUGAAAUCUUUUCCAAAAAUGAAACCAGCCAAAAUAAACAUAUUUUCAGGAAAACAAAAGUGAAGGAAAUUGCCUCAAGCAGAUCUCUACUACCAGGAAAUACUCAAAUAAGUUAUUUAGGCCAAAAGGAAA